AUGCUGCUGCUGGUGGGAAGCUGACAGAGUCCACUUUAAAGGACUGCCUUCAGUACCAUCUACAUUCUUCUACCUGGGACUGUGUGUGGCCAUGCGGACAGGCUCUCACCUUCACUAAACAAUUCAACUGGUAAGGGUAAAGGGGCCGGGGGGGGGCUUGCCUGGCAUCCCUGAGUAAGUAACAAAGUUGGAAGGAGAGUGUUAGAACACCAGUAUUGAGCCUGCAUUCAUUGAAUGUAUUUCCUUCUCUUCCUCUCUCCACAGAGGGCUGCUGCUGCUGUGGUUUGUGCAUGCUCUCUGUUGAGAUGGUUAUUUGGUGCUUAUUCAGCUGGGCUAGAAUGCUGAUUUGUAAAGUGUCAAUCUUCAGAGAACCUUCAUUAACUGGAGGCAAACAGGUUUGAUGUUAGCCAGCUGCUAGGAUGGAUGUUCUGUAUCCACCCACUCGGCAAGGCUUACCUGAAUGCCUAGGCUUCGUUGAGUGUGGAGAAGAGGCAAUGUGAAUAACAGCGCUUAGCCCCAGAUUCACAUAGAAGCAAAGCUCUGGGGCGGCGCUGACUCGUUCCAAUGAGAGGUCUGGGCUGUUCACAAAAAGUUCUCAGUGUCUGGAGCCUGAAUAGCUGAAGCAGUCAGCUCAGAUGCACAUAAGCCCGAAGCAUGGCAGGUCUGCGGAGAAAGGGAAAGAAUAGACAGGGGCAGAAAGGCAGAGCUCAUGUGGAGUUGAAGCUGGAAAGAGAGGUAUUGGAGCUUAUAGACUCUUUAGCCCUACUCAGGACAAUGUUAUGUGGACAGGGAGAGCCACCAAAGGUCUUUGAAUGUAGAUUUGCAUGGACUUAGAAAGUAUUUCUGAAUUCCAACUAUCACGACAACCAUUUACACCAGUAAAAUGAACCAGAGAAGUCAGUGUAUCAGAACCUAAGACGGGAAAACUCUAUUGGAUUUCCUUUUACCUUAACUCUUAGGUAAGAUGUCAUUUAUUCCCUUCAUUCCGCCCCCCCCCCCCCACUUUUCAUCUCCCCCCUCCCCGUUCCCACUUCCUAGAAGUAUUCAAAUGUUCAUAUUCAUUUGCUUUCCAGAUGUUAUGUUUCUCUUGAAGGGAAACCAUCAGAUCUGUGAAUGUGUGAUGAAUUUUGGUGGCUCCUGGUCUUCUUAAGUGAGUGGCAGUAUGACUCCAAGCUUUUUCCUGUGUCUCCACAAGGUCUCUCUCCUUAUAUGUGUCUUUGUUCCUUUGGGGGGGUCUCUUAUUUGAACACUGUCAUUAACAUUAGUGCUUGGCCUAACCUAGUUU
rnacentral:lncRNA from 1 species